CCUCCAGAAGCAGAUAAAAUGACGCUGAAAUAUUAGAAAGUAUAUAAAAAAAAAUUCUCCUUUGCUUCAUCUGUUCGAAUUUUCCCAUAUUAAAUAUAUGCCUUAGCUACAAGAAACUAAUUAAGUUAUCACUAAGAUUUAGCCCCAGCACCCACUCGGAAGAUAGUAAUCUGUCGGAACGAUGGGAUGUCCAAAUAUUGACCCAAAUCCUGAAUAUCAAAAGAAUGUUUAAUUGACUCUGAUAAGUCUGAUAAUUACAUGAUAAAAUGCAGUAUUUAUAAGGAAAGGAAUGCUCGAUUAUAAAGCGAGACAGUGCUCAGGUUUCAAGAAUCAAGAGCAGAUAAUAUAAAAUCUCCGAUAUACGAGAUAUUACGAGAUACUACGAGAUAUUAUCUCCGACAGUAUCCUCUUGG
rnacentral:sRNA from 2 species